rnacentral:rRNA from 1 species
UACGUAGGGUGCAAGCGUUGUUCGGAUUUACUGGGCGUAAAGGGCGCGUAGGCGGCGUGGUAAGUCAGCUGUGAAAUCUCCGAGCUUAACUCGGAACGGUCAGCUGAUACUGCUGUGCUAGAGUACAGAAAGGGCAAUCGGAAUUCUUGGUGUAGCGGUGAAAUGCGUAGAUAUCAAGAGGAACACCUGAGGCGAAGGCGGGUUGCUAGGCUGAUACUGACGCUGAGGCGCGAAAGCUAGGGUAGCAAACGGG